UACGGAGGGUGCAAGCGUUGUCCGGAUUUAUUGGGUUUAAAGGGUGCGUAGGUGGUUUGAUAAGUCCGGGGUGAAAGCCCACAGCUCAACUGUGGAACUGCCCUGGAUACUGUCAGACUUGAGGGUAGACGAGGUUGGCGGAAUAGAAGGUGUAGCGGUGAAAUGCAUAGAUACCUUCUAGAACCCCGAUUGCGUAGGCAGCUGACUAGGCUACACCUGACACUGAGGCACGAAAGCGUGGGGAGCGAACAGG
rnacentral:rRNA from 3 species